AAGAUUUUAAGUUAAAAAAACUAUUAAUCUUCAAAAUUAAAAUUAAAAUAAUUUUUAAAUCUUA
rnacentral:tRNA from 1 species